rnacentral:rRNA from 1 species
UACGAAGGCCCCAAGCGUUAUCCGGAAUUACUGGGCGUAAAGAGUUCGUAGGUGGGGGAAUAAGUCAGACGUGAAAGACUGGAGCUCAACUCCAAGUUUGCGUCCGAAACUAUUUCUCUUGAAUUAGGGAGAGGUAAGCGGAACUGUAUGAGUAGGGGUGCAAUCCGUUGAUACAUACAAGGACACCAAAAGCGAAGGCAGCUUACUGGAACUAUAUUGACACUGAGGAACGAAAGCGUGGGGAGCGAAAAGG